rfam:Poecilia formosa, whole genome shotgun sequence.
GUUCCUGUAGUGUAGUGGUUAUCAUGUUUGCUUUACACGCUAAAGGUCUCUGGUUCAAAACCAGACAGAAACA